rnacentral:rRNA from 1 species
UACGUAGGGUGCAAGCGUUGUCCGGAAUUAUUGGGCGUAAAGAGCUCGUAGGCGGUCUGUUGCGUCGGCUGUGAAAACCCGGGGCUCAACCCCGGGCCUGCAGCCGAUACGGGCAGACUGGAGUUCGGCAGGGGAGACUGGAAUUCCUGGUGUAGCGGUGAAAUGCGCAGAUAUCAGGAGGAACACCGGUGGCGAAGGCGGGUCUCUGGGCCGAUACUGACGCUGAGGAGCGAAAGCGUGGGGAGCGAACAGG